CAGAAAUCUGUAACAAUACACACAAGUAGUGACUUAAACUCUGUGCUCCCUAUUGCCAACUUGAUUAACUUCACUGAAAUAUAAAGGUAAUAUUUUUAACCAUUCAAAUCAGUACUUCAUAAUUUCUUCAAGCAGUAUUUUUUUUAUUUAUAGAAUAACUGCUGUAUCUAUAUCUGCUUUGAAAUUCAUAAAGGUGACUAAGCUGCUGAAAACCUUACUCCUGGUUCUGCUGUAGAUUGGCUUUGUAGCUUUUCUCUAGUGUUUGCCAAGUCACUAUUGAAAGCUGCUGCUGAGGUGAACUUCAGGAGCAAUUUAAACAGCUGUGAAAUUUACUGAGUGCAUCCUCCUGCACAUGAAAACCUCAUCCAGGAAAAAAAAAUCUGCAGUAUAUACCAUCUUAUCACUUGCUAGAAAAACAGAACCCUGAGAAAAGAAAUUCUGAUUAUAUUUAUUCUGUAUUUCUUCCCAGCCUGUCUUCUGUCUCUGCAAUGUGAUGAAUGUGGGUA
rnacentral:lncRNA from 1 species